GCUCACCUUUCUGUGUUUUGAAGGGAAGUGGUUGCAUACGAUGAUCCCAAAAUUCCACUUUUCAACACGGAUGUGGACAACCUCGAGGGGAAACCACCACCAGUCUUUGCUUCUGAAGGCAGAUACAGGGCUCUGAAGAUGGACUUCUCUCUUCCUCCCUCUACUUACGCCACCAUGGCCAUUCGAGAAGUGCUCAAAAUGGACACCAGCAUCAAGAACCAGACCCAGCUAAACACGAGCUGGCUGCGAUGAGCAGUGGGUCUGAGUAGUGGGUCGCUCAGAGAGCGGAUGGACGGAUAGACAGAUGCAGACCUGCUUCCGACCUGUUCUGUUCUUUUUAUGUGCUGACUCAUGUUUGGGAUAUGAAUCUUUUAUAGUAAAGAAUUAUUUGUAUUUUGUAAAGUUUGUAUCAGCUUAAAUACUUUGCAAUAUUUGUACACAUGUACAAAUCCUGAGGAUCCUAGUUAUAGCUCAGAAAAUUAAAAUUGGUCAGAAUAUCCCUUAGGUGCUUAAAUUCUAGGACAGUUUCAGCUUUGUGGCUUUAUAAGAAUAAAGGG
rnacentral:lncRNA from 1 species